rnacentral:rRNA from 1 species
UCGAGAAUCUUCGGCAAUGGGGGAAACCCUGACCCAGCAACGCCGCGUGAAGGAUGAAGUAUUUCGGUAUGUAAACUUCGAAAGAAUAGGAAGAAUAAAUGACGGUACUAUUUAUAAGGUCCGGCUAACUACGUGCCAGCAGCCGCGGUAAUACGUAGGGACCAAGCGUUGUUCGGAUUUACUGGGCGUAAAGGGCGCGUAGGCGGCAUGACAAGUCACUUGUGAAAUCUCUGGGCUUAACCCAGAACGGCCAAGUGAUACUGUCGCGCUAGAGUGCAGAAGGGGCAAUCGGAAUUCUCGGUGUAGCGGUGAAAUGCGUAGAUAUCAAGAGGAACACCUGAGGUGAAGACGGGUUGCUGGGCUGACACUGACGCUGAGGCGCGAAAGCCAGGGGAGCAAACGGGAUUAGAUACCCAAGUAGUCCCUGAGCGGGC